UGAGAGGUCCAGCUCCACAGUGAGGUGGGGAAAAAAGGAGUGAUUUCCUCUGUCCUCUGCUUUUUCUUCUACUCAGGCCCUUAAAGGAUUUGCUGAUGCUCCUCCCCAAUCUACUUUACUGAGUCUACUAAUUCGAGGGCUGAUCUCAUCCAGAAGAAAGUGUUUAAAAUGGGCACACCAGGGCUAAACGGACAUCAUACUGGGAGACACGUUCUGCAGGUGGAAUGUUCAAGGAGGGAAGCAGAGGAGUUGAGGACUGGACCUUUGUGAUGGGUUUGUCCACCCAGCAGAUCACAGCUCAAAAGUUACUCCACCCGAGAUUCCCUCCCGGGCCACCAUGCCGUGAAGAAGCAUAAGAUGAAAGGCCAUGUGGAGAGAGAAACCAGACCACGCCACCUCCUCCAGCCAGCCCAGCUCAGACCUCCGAGGGGAGUGAGGCCACUGGGACACCCAGGGCCCCCCAGGCCCCCAGCUGCAAGUGUGCAAGCGUGCAAGGGAGCCCAAGGAAGGCCACAAAACUGCCCACUUAACCCUCAC